GGGUUGACCGCUGGGCGGUGACGAGGCUCCAAACCUUGUCUUGCUACGUUCGAUUCGUAGUCGAUCUGCCA
rnacentral:tRNA from 1 species